rnacentral:rRNA from 1 species
CCGAAAGGUCGAAGGGAGAAAUUCAUUCGCGUUUCGUCGCAGGCGUGGGGCGAUCGAGCGACGGGGGGAUGCGUUCGCGCUUCUCCCGCGCCUUUCGUUCUUCGAACCGGCGACGAACGCGUGCACUUUUCUCCUGGUAGGACGUCGCGAUCCGUUGGGCGUCGGUCUACGGCUCGCGGUGGAGCCCGCGCGCGUCGGCUUUAAAACCGACGCGUGCGGACCCGCGUGUCCCGGCUGACUCGCUCGACGGUAUACAAAAGGUUCAAGGCCGCUCUUUGGAGCGUUCGACUCGCGGCAAGCGCGCCGGACGCGUCGGCGAUCGGACUCCGUGCCGAUUCUGACCUCCGGUGACUGUUGGCCGCGAUGUUCUCGAACAGACCUUCUAGGACCGAUCCGCGACGCUAUAGCUUUGGGUACUUUCAGGA